rnacentral:rRNA from 1 species
CCAGACUCCUACGGGAGGCAGCAGUGAGGAAUAUUGGUCAAUGGCCGGGAGGCUGAACCAGCCAAGUCGCGUGAGGGAAGACGGCCCUACGGGUUGUAAACCUCUUUUGUCAGGGAGCAAGGUGCAGGUCGGGACCUGCUGUGAGAGUACCUGAAGAAAAAGCAUCGGCUAACUCCGUGCCAGCAGCCGCGGUAAUACGGAGGAUGCGAGCGUUAUCCGGAUUUAUUGGGUUUAAAGGGUGCGCAGGCGGCGUGUCAAGUCAGCGGUAAAAUGUCGGGGCUCAACCCCGGCCGGCCGUUGAAACUGGCGUGCUCGAGUUGGAGAGAAGUAUGCGGAAUUCGUGGUGUAGCGGUGAAAUGCGUAGAUAUCAGGAGGAACAUCGGUGGCGAAAGCGCUUUACUGGACCAUUAUUGACGCUGAGGAACGAAAGCCAGGGGAGCAAAUGGGAUUAGAUACCCCUGUA